rnacentral:lncRNA from 1 species
GAAAGGGAGCUGGAGAUGUAUGACCCCCUCUGAUAUAGGGGGACCAUUCUGUGCUAGAGAUGUUGGCGGUGAAGGAGGAGCCCAGCUCGUCACACCCUCACUGGGAGAUGGACCAGUGUGAAGAGGAGGCUUCGGGGAAUGACGGCGCCUGUUUCGGAGACCGGUUGAAAGUCCACGGGAAAGAGGAGCCGAAAGAGGAGGAGGGCAUCCCGGAAUAUGUCCCCGAGGAAGGAAGUGCAGCAGCACAUGCAGAAGGGCGAGCCGCCUCCUCUCUUCCCUCUGCAGAGACGUACGCCAGCAAACAGGGAGGAUCCCCUAAGCGAGUCGGCGAUCGGCCAGCCGUGGUGCCGCCACCCCUAUCUUCCGCCAGCCGACCCCACCUCCCCUUUCCCCUCGUGAGGCUCACCCGGAUCGACGACUCCUGGCCGCGGGAUGCGAUCCGCGCGGGCUACGUCCUGGGGGACGGCUACAAGGUCGCCCGCGCAACGGGAUCGGAGCGGGCCGUCCCCCGCAGCGGGGAAGCGGUCCCGCAGGGUGUGCAGCCUGAAGGUGCGCCGGCGGAUCCACACGGGCGGGAGCCGCCUCCGGCGGAUCGCGCACUCGGAGCGCCCCCAGAGAGGAGCGGCCCCACCGCCUCCCGGAGUGCAGGAAGGGCCUCCUCUACCAGGCCGAGCUCCGGGCGAACGGGCGGACCCACACGGGGGCGACGCCCUACGGCUGCGGGCAGUGUGGGCAGAGGUUCCGGCUCUGCGGGAGCCUCGGGAAGCACCGGCAUGUCCACGCCGAGGAGAAGCCAUACGGCCGCCGGCGGCGCGGGAAGGGGCUCGGCCAGCCGCAGAGCCUCGCGGCCCACCGGCGCUGCCCCCAGUGCGGGAAGAGCUUCAGCCAGCAGGACCACCGGCGCGUCCAUCGGGGGGGGCGGCCCUUCCCCCGCCCCGCCUGCGGCAGGAGCUUCGCGCCCGCCGUCACGCUCAAGAGCCAAUGUAAGAGGGAGAGGCCCUUCAAGUGCCCGGGGUGCGAAAAGAGCUUCGGCCAGCCGGGGACCCUGAAACGGCACCAGCAAAUCCACGAGCGGGAGGUGAUGCCGAAGGGGCAGGUGUAGG